ACAAUGAUUUAUAAUCACUAACUUCAAAAAUUAUCUUCUAUUGAUCAUAUUCUUGUUUAUAUGAUCAAGCUUAAAUUGCCAAAGGUAGGCUACCAUGACAUAAUCUACUUUAGGAGUUUGAUUGAUGUGUACAGCACACUAACAGGCCGUGACUAUUUGUAAAUACCAUUUCUCAAUUAUCUACAUGAUUUUAAUAUUGUUCAUAAUGAUAUCACAAAAUCAUUAGACAAUAGUGACAAUCACUAAAACGAUAUUGUUAGAAUUGAAAAUAGGCUUGAUGAUUUCUAAAACAAAGAUUGGAACAUAACUUUCAUCUCCAACAUUCAGGAUGGUACCGGCCUCGGAGAAUAUAGGAGAUUAGUGUCUGGGGUUGAAUCAUGGCCCGAUUGUGGGCUCGAAGAUCGCCGUCGGGCCGACUGCUGGGCCCUAGGAUGACUCUGAUGAGUCAGCUCCUCUCUAGACUUCAAGGAGGCGCCUGUAGCUCUAGUUGAGGUGGUGGUUGUGGAGCCGCAAUUGAAGCAAAGUUCUAUAGAGGCGCCACUGCGGAAGGCACAGGCGGCACCACUAAGAGAACCAUGUCACGCACCACCGUGGGGGGUGCAGAGACAGCCUGGAGAGGCUGUGGCGCCACUUGGAAGGGCACAAGAAAGAUCGGACCGCCUGAAUUGCGGUCGUCAGAUGUUGAACUUGCUGAGAGAGCUGACCAAAUUGGUCGGCCGUGACUGGUGCUGGGAGGACUGGUUGAGCCGAUGGAGGGACUUUCGAUACCAGUGAUUGAACUUGAUUAUCAGCUUGGCUGGCCGCCUGUCGGGAAGCGACGAUAUUGAAAAGCUGGGAAGAUGACCAUCUUGGAGCCAUCAAUGCGAAUGUUUGCCCCUUCCUUUAUCUGUUGCUGCUCAAAUUGGUCGAGGCCGGAAGACGGAUGUUUGAGGUCGAAAAUCAGAUGUCUGGUCCUAGUAUAGAGAUGCUGGUGCUGAAGAGACCUACAAAACAAGUCCCAAAUCGGAGGUUGUGGCUCUGACGAGGACCCUCCGAUGCUCAAGUUAGAAAAGUAGAGAACAAAGGAGUAGCAAUUGGUUCUCUGAGAGGGAUUCAAUUUGGCUUACCUGGGUCUUCGGAGCUCUGGUUGUUUAUAUAGAAGGAUAUCGGACAGCUGAUUGUCCGGUCAUUGAAAUUGCCAUAGUGGGUGAGAUAAUUCAGCUCUUGAUAGCUCCCGUAAAAUUCGGAGAGACUGUUACAUUGUAUUUUUAUCUGUUUAGGAUGGACAGCAAUCGCAUACAAUGAAGGGAUAAAUCGGCUGAGGCAGCUUAUGUACAGGUCGAACUUCGCGGACGCCUCAGCUCAGCAGGAAGAUUGAUUCUUCAGCUUAUACAACAAUCAACAGUUAUAUUGACGACCCAAGAGUCUGAAAUGCUUUGCAAUGCAAUGCCGAUCCAAAGUGCUUAUGGUAUCGCCGUAACACUUUCCAAUCUUGCCGUCCAC
rnacentral:lncRNA from 1 species